UACGUAGGGGGCUAGCGUUGUCCGGAAUCAUUGGGCGUAAAGAGCGUGUAGGCGGCCCGGUAAGUCCGCUGUGAAAGUCGGGGGCUCAACCCUCGGAUGCCGGUGGAUACUGUCGGGCUUGAGUACGGAAGAGGCGAGUGGAAUUCCUGGUGUAGCGGUGAAAUGCGCAGAUAUCAGGAGGAACACCAAUUGCGAAGGCAGCUCGCUGGGACGUUACUGACGCUGAGACGCGAAAGCGUGGGGAGCAAACAGG
rnacentral:rRNA from 1 species